UCAAAUUUAAUUCCGUGGAUUUUUAGAAAUGAUUUCACCAUUGUGGGAGCGAGUACGAGGCUUGAAGAAGUUGUGGAAUUAGUUCGAACGAUUUAAUUUUCGAAAACGAACGUUAUUUAGGGGGUCUCAAAAAGUGACUUUUUAUACAUACAGAAUUUGGGAAAACUUCCUUCAUGAAAGUUGUAGAGCUCGUCGAUACGAUCGCGUGCAUAUGUGGAACGCAAAAAUCGGAGUUCGUAUGAAUUAGUUAUGAUUUUUUUGAAAAAGUUUCCAAUUUGGUAUAAAGCUUCCAUUUUUGGAAAUUUCCAAAAAUAAAAACAGAUUUUCCAAAAAUGGAAAAUCUGCUGCAGAAAACGCUCUCGGCCGGAAAUCGCCUUGAUUUUUCGUCCGGCCAUAUCUUCCUCCUCCGGCCACCGAUCCUCACCAAACUUCUUCCAUUGGCUUCGUAUGGUCCUUCCGCACCUGUCUGUGGCAGCCUUUCAUGGCGGCGCGGCCUGUAGCGGCGGCGGAAAGCUUGUUCCGAUUUAAGCCCGAUUUUGAGUCAACGCCGAUAUCUUGAGUUUCCGGCCACCUUUCUUUGUGAUUCUUGGCUUGAUGAACUCGCCUUGAGAUUCUGAACCAGUCUCCAGAAGGAAUCGAAGCGAGUGGUGGACGUUUUCACGCUGAUCGGAGCUCUCGCCGGAUUCUGGAAAAAUUCCGGCCACCGUGACUGAGUUUGGUGAUCGAUGGAUUUAUUUGGCGGACGAUUCGUGAGAUUGUUAAUUGAGCUGUUAAGAAGACGCAGCUGGAUCAGAGCGGAUAAUCCUACAGGACUGGAGAAUUCAGGAAGGUGAUCGAACCGUGUAGAGUAGCUGCUUUGUAAUACUCUGAUUUUCAGUUGUGAGGUUUGUUAUGCUCAUUAGAGCUUUACAAUUUACUUUGUACGAGUGAGUUGUAAUAAUUAACUCGAGGUCUUCGAGUUUUGAAUUUGAGCGUGAGUGGCGAGGUUGUU